CCUACGGGCGGCAGCAGUGGGGAAUAUUGCACAAUGGGGGAAACCCUGAUGCAGCGACGCCGCGUGAGUGAAGAAGUAUUUCGGUAUGUAAAGCUCUAUCAGCAGGGAAGAAAUAAAGUCCUUCGGACUUUGGACGGUACCUGACUAAGAAGCCCCGGCUAACUACGUGCCAGCAGCCGCGGUAAUACGUAGGGGGCAAGCGUUAUCCGGAUUUACGGGGGGUAAAGGGAGCGUCGACGGCAGCGCAAGUCUGGAGUGAAAUCCCAUGGCUUAACCAUGGAACUGCUUUGGAAACUGUGCAGCUGGAGUGCAGGAGAGGUAAGCGGAAUUCCUAGUGUAGCGGUGAAAUGCGUAGAUAUUAGGAGGAACACCAGUGGCGAAGGCGGCUUACUGGACUGUAACUGACGUUGAGGCUCGAAAGCGUGGGGAGCAAACAGGAUUAGAUACCCUGGUAGUC
rnacentral:rRNA from 1 species